UACAGAGGGGGCAAGCGUUGUUCGGAAUUACUGGGCGUAAAGGGCGCGUAGGCGGCCGCCUAAGUCAGACGUGAAAUCCCUCGGCUCAACCGGGGAACUGCGUCUGAUACUGGGUGGCUUGAAUUCGGGAGAGGGAUGCGGGAAUUCCAGGUGUAGUGGUGAAAUGCGUAGAUAUCUGGAGGAACACCGGUGGCGAAGGCGGCGAUCCUGGACCAACACUGACGCGUGACGUGAGCGAAAGCCAGGGGAAGCAA
rnacentral:rRNA from 1 species